rnacentral:rRNA from 1 species
UGCGUAGGUGGUUUGUUAAGUCAGAUGUGAAAGCCCCGGGCUCAACCUGGGAACUGCAUUUGAUACUGUCAGGCUAGAGUGUGGUAGAGGGAAGUGGAAUUCCGGGUGUAGCGGUGAAAUGCGUAGAUAUCCGGAGGAACACCGGUGGCGAAGGCGGCUUCCUGGACCGACACUGACACUGAGGCACGAAAGCGUGGGUAGCAAACA